GGAUCCAGACUUUGAUUAUGGCUCAGAUUGAACGCUGGCGGCAUGCUUAAUACAUGCAAGUCGAACGGUAACAGUUCCUUUUUUAGGUACUGACGAGUGGCGGACGGGUGAGUAAAGCAUAGGAAUCUGCCUUAUAGUGGGGAAUAACCUGAGGAAACUCAAGCUAAUACCACAUAAUUCCACUAAAGGAAAAAGAGGGCAUCUGUAUUGAUUUUACUUUCAAUUGCAGGCUCUUGCUAUAAGAUGAGCCUAUGUCGGAUUAGUUAGUUGGUGGGGUAAUAGCUUACCAAGACAGCAAUCCGUAGCUGGUUUUAGAGGAUGAACAGCCACACUGGGACUGAGACACGGCCCAGACUCCUAUGGGAGGCAGCAGUAAGGAAUAUUGGACAAUGGGCGAAAGCCUGAUCCAGCAAUGUCGCGUGUGUGAAGAAGGCCUGCGGGUUGUAAAGCACUUUCAGUUGGGAAGAAAAACAAAAGCUUAAUAUUCUUUUGUGUUGACAUUACCAACAAAAGAAGCACCGGCUAACUCUGUGCCAGCAGCCGCGGUAAUACAGAGGGUGCAAGCGUUAAUCGGAAUUAUUGGGCGUAAAGGGUGCGUAGGUGGUAAAGUUAGUCGGAUGUGAAAUCCCAAAGCUUAACUUUGGAAUAGCAUUCGAUACUACUAAACUAGAGUAUAGUAGAGGAAAGCGGAAUUUCUAGUGUAGCGGUGAAAUGCGUAGAUAUUAGGAAGAACACUGGUGGCGAAGGCGGCUUUCUGGACUAAUACUGACGCUGAGGCACGAAAGCGUGGGGAGCGAACAGGAUUAGAUACCCUGGUAGUCCACGCCCUAAACGAUGAGAACUAGAUGUUGGGGGAAAUUUAAUCCUUUAGUAUCAUAGCUAACGCACUAAGUUCUCCGCCUGGGGAGUACGAUCGCAAGGUUAAAACUCAAAUGAAUUGACGGGGGCCCGCACAAGCGGUGGAGCAUGUGGUUUAAUUCGAUGCAACGCGAAGAACCUUACCUGGCCUUGACAUCCUUGGUAUUCCAUAGAAAUGAGGAAGUGCCUUCGGGAACCAAGAGACAGGUGCUGCAUGGCUGUCGUCAGCUCGUGUCGUGAGAUGUUGGGUUAAGUCCCGCAACGAGCGCAACCCUUAUCCCUAGUUACCAGCGAUUUGUGUCGGGGACUCUAGGGAGACUGCCGGUGACAAACCGACGGAAGGUGAGGAUGAUGUCAAGUCAUCAUGGCCCUUACGGCCAGGGCUACACACGUGCUACAAUGGGUGGUACAAAGGGUUGCCAACCUGCGAAGGGGAGCAAAUCCCAUAAAACCACUCAUAGUUCGGAUUGGAGUCUGCAACUCGACUCCAUGAAGUUGGAAUCGCUAGUAAUCACGAAUCAGCAUGUCGUGGUGAAUACGUUCCCGGGCCUUGUACACACCGCCCGUCACACCAUGGGAGUGGGUUGUACCAGAAGUAGGUAGUCUAACUAUUUUUGAGGACACUUACCACGGUAUGGUCCAUGACUGGGGUGAAGUCGUAACAAGGUAACC
rnacentral:rRNA from 1 species